AUUACUAGAAUACAUUGGUAUCGAAGGAACUAGAUUCUGUUCCGAAAUAUCACUUACUCGAACCGUCCUGACCGCAUAGCUCAGUUGGAAGAGCAUUGGGCUAGUAUUCCAAAGGUCGUAGGUUCGAAUCCCACCGUGGCCGGGCAUAUUUUUUCAAGCUCGCCCGGUGUGGAUAUACACUCAGAGUAACACCACAAACUUCAUAUUCACCUGAGUACACUACACCAACA
rnacentral:tRNA from 1 species